ensembl:lncRNA
CUCUGGUGUAGGGUAGAAAUUCCAUGUAGUUUGUAACUAUAUUAACACAGGUCAAUAAGCUUAUGACAUAGGAGCCAGCUAUAGUUAUACUGGUUAGUUGUUGAAGUACAAUUAUCUCCUUGCACCUAUCUUCGCUUAAGUGAUAAGUUAAACAAAAGGGGUAUCAAAUUAUAUUUACUCAGACUUAGUACUGGAUCAUUGAACUUCUGGACUCCCCAUUAGCUAAAUUGUAAGCUUCUUGAAGGACAGUGAUAAAGAAUCUUGAUUUUAGAGUUGGAAGGUAUAUUUUGAAGAAUGGGAGAAGUAAUGAAGAAUUAGAGAAAAACCCUUGAAGACCCAAGAAACAUCAGGUGGUUCCAUUGUUGAUUGUGCUCACCACUGAAAGAGCAUAGCAGUUAUGGCAUUUGACUUAUGGACAUCGAAAAUUGUUGGACUUCAAAACCCUCAGGAAUCAUUGGAUUCUCUUAGACAUGAUAAGAUUGUUGUAGGACUUGAAAACUGAAGAAUCAUUGGAUUCUCUGAGACGUAAGACUGUUGUUGGACUUGAAAGCCCUCAGGACUCAUGGGAUUCUCUGAGACAUAAGAUUGUUGUAGGACUUGAAAACUCUGAAGAAUCAUUGGAUUCUCUGAGACAUAAGACUGUUGUUGGACUUGAAAGCCCUCAGAAAUCAUGGGAUUCUCUGAGACAUAAGAUUGUUGUAGGACUUGAAAACCCUCAGGAAUCAUUGGAUUUUCUGAGAAAUCAUAAGAUGGUUGCAGGACUUCAAAAUCUGCUGGAAUCAUUGGAUUCCCUAACACAUAAAAAGACUGUUGCAGGACUUCACAAACUUGGGGGAUCAUUGGAUUCCCUGACAUGUGAAGCAAUGGACAACAGAUUGGUUUUGGACUAUCUCUUGGCUGCUGAAGAAGGCCUAUGUGUGACUAUUGUUUACAUACCCUCCUUCUAGGACUUCUGUAAAUCUUUUACAACACUAUGUUGAUUCAUAUUGUUUGUUAUACCACUACUUGCCUGUACAAUUCAUGUUUGUUAUACCACAUUGAGCCUUCACUGGUUGUGGGGAGAAUCAUCACUAAUAGCCUGUGCUUUAUUGCUAUGUGCUUGUGUAAUACUUCACAUGCUGCUGGGAUUGUGCAUACCUAUUUCUAAUAAGAUCCUUCAGUCCAGAAACCCACUAGUAAUCCCCACUUCCCUUUGGCGCUUUUCAUCUCCCUUCCUGAGAAGUCAGGGAAGGUACGGUCACCUCUUUUUCUGUCUUUUCACCUUCUGUCCUGAGAAGUCAGGGAAGGUGUGAUCACCUGGCCUUGGGGGCUCUCACCUCCCUGAGAGGUCAGGGAUGGUGUGACUACCUGUGUUCUAAAACAAAAGAAAGCAUUAGAUGUAAUGGGCUGAAGCUCUUGAAGCUCUGAUUGCACUGGGGUCCCAAGCACUUGAGUCUAAUUAGCAACUGGACAAUACUCUAUUAAUAUAUGCUUGGAGAAAGAAUGGCCCCACCCACUCUUUCUGCAAAUUUGAUGUGUUGUAUAGGAAAUCUGCAUAGAGGACUUGGUGGGUGUGAGAGCCAGAAGUACUGCUGGCUGGAUUCCUGUUGUGACUACUUUCACUUCAUAUUGCCAUUCCCCUUCACCUCCGCAAAAAAUAAAGAUUUAGCAUUUUCCCUUAUUCUGAUGCAGCCUGAUUUUAAUAUACUCUGGGUGCUAUAUGCAAUCAUCACAUAUAAUUUAGUAUGGCAUAGUGAAAAUUUGAAUGUUGGACUGUGAGUCAUGAGGUUCUGGUUUCAAACAUGCCCCUGAAAAUUUUUAGAGAUAUGACCAGGUACAAAUUAUUUAAUUCCUCUAUCCAUUAUCCAGUAGUAUUAGAGGAUCUAAAUCUUCUAAGUUCGAUAGUUUCAUCAGGAUGGAAGGAGGGAGCUUUCAUGUGAGUUGUUCCCUGCUGACAUAAACACAAGUCCUUCAUUAUAUCAGUCUAUCAUUUUACAUGACAAGGAGAUUAAAUCCUUUACUUAUUUAUUGAAUAACUUUUUAUUUUCAACAUAAAAUGAAACAUAGUUUUCAGCAUUUACCUUUGCAAAACCUUGUGUUCUAAAUUUUUUCUCCCUCCCUUUCUCCAUCCCCUCUACUAGAUAGCAAGCAAUCCAAUAUGUUAAACAUAUAUAAUUCUUCUAUACAUAUUUCCACAGUUAUCAUGGUGCAGAAGAAAAAUCAGAUCAAAAAAGAAAAAAAAUGAGAAAAAAUAAAAAGCAAAGCAAACAACAAAAAAGGUGAAAUAACCCUUUUUAAAUCCACAUUCAAUUCCCAUGGUUCUCUUUCUGAAUGUUGAUAACUCUCCCCCUUACAAGUCUAUUGGAAUUGGUUUGAAUCACAUCAUUAUUGAAAAGAGUUGUGUCCAUCAAAGUUGAUCAUUACAUAAUUUUGUUGUUACGUACAAUGUUCUCUUGAUUCUAUUCAUUUCACUUAGCAUCAUUUCAUGUAUACCUCUCUAGGCUUUUCCGAAACAGUCCUGCUGAUUAUUUUG